CGCAUCUGUGCAUGCAGCAUAUCAAUAAGCGGAGGAAAAGAAACUAACAAGGAUUCCCCUAGUAACGGCGAGUGAAGCGGGUAGAGCUCAAAUUUGAAAUCUUAAAGGGUUUCCCUUUACGAAUUGUAGUUUAAAGAAGUGUUUUCUGUUGAGGUUUUGGUAAAAGUUCUUUGGAAUAGGACAUCAUAGAGGGUGAGAAUCCCGUAUUUGACCUUUACUUUCAACUUUGUGAUACACUCUCAAAGAGUCGGAUUGUUUGGGAAUGCAGUCCAAAAUGGGUGGUAAAUUUCAUCUAAAGCUAAAUAUUGGCGAGAGACCGAUAGCGAACAAGUACCGUGAGGGAAAGAUGAAAAGAACUUUGAAAAGAGAGUUAAACAGUACGUGAAAUUGUCAAAAGGGAAGCGUUUGACACCAGUGUUGUUUUUCUGAAAAUCAAUUAAAGAACUGUUUAUGCUAAGUUGUUUAGACUUUAUCAGCUAACUGUUUAGUUUUGAGCUUUUCUUUAAUGCACUUUUCAGUUAACAAGUCAACAUCAAUUUCUUUUGCUGUAAAAAAGCUUGAGGAAGGUGGCUUGAGAUUCGUCUUAAGUGUUUAUAGCCUCUUGCCUAUGCAGUCGGAGAGAUUGAGGUCUGCAGCGUAGAUCCUUCGGGGCUAAAUGCAUUUGUGCUAAGUUAUAGCAUUUUAUAGACAACUUGUUGACUAUGAUUUGUCUUGUAGCUUACUCGCUUAUGUUAUUUUACCUACGCUUAGGAUGUUGAACGCGCACAGAGUCUC
rnacentral:rRNA from 1 species